rnacentral:rRNA from 1 species
AGGACGAACGCUGGCGGCGUGCUUAACACAUGCAAGUCGAGCGGAAAGGCCCUUCGGGUACUCGAGCGGCGAACGGGUGAGUAACACGUGAGUAAUCUGCCCCUAGCUCUGGGAUAGCUCCGGGAAAACCGGGAUUAAUACCAGAUACGACCACUUUAGACAUCUGCUGUGGUGGAAAGAAUUUCGGCUAGGGAUGAGCUCGCGGCCUAUCAGCUUGUUGGUGAGGUAACGGCUCACCAAGGCGACGACGGGUAGCCGGCCUGAGAGGGCGACCGGCCGACACUGGGACUGAGACACGGCCCAGACUCCUACGGGAGGCAGCAGUGGGGAAUAUUGCGCAAUGGGCGAAAGCCUGACGCAGCGACGCCGCGUGGGGGAUGAAGGCCUCGGGUUGUAAACCCUUCAGCAGGACGAAGCGAAGUGACGGUACCUGCAGAAGAAGCGCCGGCUAACUACGUGCCAGCAGCCGCGGUAA